GGUUGUAGCUCAGUGGUAGAGUGCUUCCCUAGCGUGCAUGAGGCACUGGGUUUAAUUCUCAGCACCA
rnacentral:tRNA from 1 species